rnacentral:rRNA from 1 species
UACGUAGGGUGCAAGCGUUGUCCGGAAUUAUUGGGCGUAAAGCGCGUGUAGGCGGCUUGGUAAGUCUGCUCUGAAAGCCCGGGGCUCAACCCCGGGAGGCGGGUGGAUACUGUCAAGCUCGAGUCCGGAAGAGGAGUGUGGAAUUCCUGGUGUAGCGGUGAAAUGCGCAGAUAUCAGGAGGAACACCGGUGGCGAAGGCGGGUCUCUGGGCCGAUAUCGACGCUGAGGAGCGAAAGCGUGGGGAGCGAACGGG